rnacentral:ncRNA from 1 species
UACUCUGGAGAGUCCCGUUAUGGGCGCCGAAGGUGUACGGCAGGCUGGCUCCUGCCUAUCUCUCAGGCAAAAGGACAGAGCA